rnacentral:misc_RNA from 1 species
GAUCAUUCUCCAGGGCUUUGUU